rnacentral:rRNA from 1 species
CCUACGGGCGGCAGCAGUAGGGAAUUUUCGGCAAUGGGGGGAACCCUGACCGAGCAACGCCGCGUGAACGAAGAAGUUAUUCGUAAUGUAAAGUUCUUUUAACAGGGAAGAAAGAGAAAUUUGACGGUACCUUAUGAAUAAGCUCCGGCUAACUACGUGCCAGCAGCCGCGGUCAUACGUGGGGAGCGAGCGUUAUCGGGAAUUAUUGGGCGUAAAGGGUGUGUAGAGGGCAUAGUAAGUCUUUUGUAAAAAUGCUGGGCUCAACCCAGUAGGGCAAAAGAUACUGCAAAGCUAGAGUAUGACAGAGGCAAGUGGAACUACAGGUGUAGCGGUAAAAUGCGUAAAUAUAUGUAAGAACACCAGUGGCGAAGGCGGCUUGCUGGGUCGAUACUGACAUUGAGGCACGAAAGCGUGGGGAGCAAACAGGAUUAGAUACCCCAGUAGUC